UGCGAAGGGUGCAAACGCUGCUCGGAAUUAUUGGGCGUAAAGCGCACGUAGGCGGCUUUGCAAGUCGGAUGUGAAAGCCCUCGGCUCAACCAAGGAAGUGCAUCCGAAACUGCAGAGCUUGAGUACUUAAGAGGAUCGCGGAAUUCCCGGUGUAGAGGUGAAAUUCGUAGAUAUCGGGAGGAACACCAGUGGCGAAGGCGGCCUUCUGGACAGUGACUGACGCUGAGACGCGAAAGCGUGGGGAGCAAACAGG
rnacentral:rRNA from 1 species